GAGAAAAGAAGUGGAAAGAAAUGUAUCAAACAAGUAGGAUCGAUGAAAGGAAUCGAGGGAAAGUGUCUAGCAAGGUUUGUUCGAGACUAAAAGACAUGAAGAGAAGCAUGGUUGAGAUAGAAAAAGACAUCAAGAGAAGUGUAAACCAAUAUAAAGGUUAAGUUGCAUAAUGUGGAAAUGACCAUAAUAUAUGAUAUGAUGUGGAUAGUUUAAGACAAUUACUUCAUUUUAUGUAUUUUUUCCUUUUAUUUUAUUUAUCAAGUAAUUCAAAUGUAAACAAAGGAUGACAAAUUGUGAUACAAUUUCAAACAGUCUAAUAAAGACAUUAACACGACAAAUGGUUAGUCAAAUGUUGUCAGGAAUUUUGAUGAUCGUUUUCAUUGAUUUACCUUACAAGAUUUUAUUUUACCCUUAAUAAUUUAUUUUAUUAUAAUUUACAUUUUUGCAAAAUCUUCAUCUCCA
rnacentral:lncRNA from 1 species